GAUGAACGCUGGCGGCGUGCUUAACACAUGCAAGUCGAACGGAAAGGCUCCUGCUUGCAGGGGUACUCGAGUGGCGAACGGGUGAGUAAUACGUGGGUGAUCUGCCCUGCACUUCGGGAUAAGCCUGGGAAACUGGGUCUAAUACCGGAUAGGACGAUGGUUUGGAUGCCAUUGUGGAAAGUUUUUCGGUGUGGGAUGAGCUCGCGGCCUAUCAGCUUGUUGGUGGGGUAAUGGCCUACCAAGGCGUCGACGGGUAGCCGGCCUGAGAGGGUGUACGGCCACAUUGGGACUGAGAUACGGCACAGACUCCUACGGGAGGCAGCAGUGGGGAAUAUUGCACAAUGGGCGCAAGCCUGAUGCAGCGACGCCGCGUGGGGGAUGACGGCCUUCGGGUUGUAAACUCCUUUCGCUAGGGACGAAGCGCAAGUGACGGUACCUGGAGAAGAAGCACCGGCUAACUACGUG
rnacentral:rRNA from 1 species